rnacentral:rRNA from 1 species
GAUGAACGCUGGCGGCGUGCCUAAUACAUGCAAGUCGAGCGAACGGACGAGAAGCUUGCUUCUCUGAUGUUAGCGGCGGACGGGUGAGUAACACGUGGAUAACCUACCUAUAAGACUGGGAUAACUUCGGGAAACCGGAGCUAACACCGGAUGAUAUUUUGAACCGCAUGGUUCAAAAGUGAAAGACGGUCUUGCUGUCACUUAUAGAUGGAUCCGCGCUGCAUUAGCUAGUUGGUAAGGUAACGGCUUACCAAGGCAACGAUGCAUAGCCGACCUGAGAGGGUGGUCGGACACACUGGAACUGAGACACGGUCCACACUCCUACGGGAGGCAGCAGUAGGGAAUCUUCCGCAAUGGGCGAAAGCCUGACGGAGCAACGCCGCGUGAGUGAUGAAGGUCUUCUGAUCGUAAAACUCUGUUAUUAGGGAAGAACAUAUGUGUAAGUAACUGUGCACAUCUUGACGGUACCUAAUCAGAAAGCCACGGCUAACUACGUG